rnacentral:piRNA from 2 species
AUGGAUAGCGCAUUGGACUUCUAGUGAC